GCCAGGCGUGGUGGUGCACACCUGUAAUCCCAGCUGCUGGGGAGGCUGAGGCAGGAGGAUCUCGAGUUCAAGCCAGCUUCAGUAACAGCAAGGCGCCAAGCAAUUCAGUGAGACCCUGUCUCUA
rnacentral:sRNA from 1 species